CCGGGGCCCUGCGCCGCCCCUCGCCGCCCGCCGCCGAGACCCCUAGGUCGGAGCUGCCCGGCCCCGCGGGGCGCCGCCCCCCCCGGAGCCAGUCUGCGACCCGGACCGGCACGUGCUGCUCGGACCAGCCCGGGAGCCGCGGUCCCGUCCUCCCCCAGGGUGUGUGUCGGGAAGAGGGAGUGAUGCGCUGCCAGUGAAACGCUCCUUUGUCAGCCGCUGAGCACGGCCCCAACAGAUCGGCGUCUCCAGAACGCCUCUGACAAAAGGAGCCGACAUGCCUGAUGCCUUGUGGCCUGGGAAAGUGGGAGGAGGGGUCAGAGCCAGGAGCAGACAGCAAAGUAUGAGCUCCUGGACCCUAUUCAGCAGUCUGCUCACCUGAACAGAGAUAAGAUACCCAACUGGGGCUGGUUAGCCUGGAGGAGGGCUCAGAAGGCAAGAAGGAUCUGGCUCCCCUUUGAUGUUCCCAUCUCCUCCUGCCAUCUCCACCAUCCAAUGACUGGUCCCUUAAGGGCCUCUUCGCUUCUUCCCCUGCCUGCCUCUGGAUGAGGGAUUAGGAAGUGGAGUCUCAGAGAAGUCAAGUACCUUGGCCAGACCACACAGAAAAUGUGGUGCUGGCAGGGUUCGAAUCGGGUCUGCUUCCAAAGCCCCCUUCUCUUCGCCCUUAGUGCUGCCUGGGCAUCUCUGUGACUUCCCUGCGAAUCGGUGCACCCUGUCAUAUGCUCUUUGUCACCUGGUCUCAUUCUCUCCCCCUGUCAACGGAGCCCUACCUUGUGUUUCCCUCCUGCCAUCCCAACAGCCCGAUGCUAAUGACGACCGUUCAUCUUGUGAUCAGUCCUUUCUGCAGAGGUGCUCUGACUGUUGGCUGGUUGUUGGAGGUCACCAUUAUCAUGCCCGAUCAUUCUGGUGUUCUCCUCCAUACCUGGAGAGAAGUGCGGUUUGCCCUCAGUCCUUACCAAGGAACACUGACUGAGGAUCCACCAUGUGCCCACACGAUGCUGUCGCUUGAUAGAAAACCACUCGAUGUUCACAUAAAAGCUGGAUGUUCGUGUCCAAAGCAGCCUUAUCUGUAACAGCCCCCAAACUGGAAGCAACGUAAAUGUCCUUCGACAGGUGAAUGGCUGAGCAAAUCCUGGGAUUAACACACCGCAGAUUACGACUCAGCACUAGGAAAGAAUGAACUAGUGACACACGCCACAGCUGGAGCGGAUCUUCAGGGAUUUUGUGCCCAGAGUAGGCCAAGCCCACAAGUGACCUGCUAUAUGAUUCCUUUCAUAUGACAUCUUCGGGAUAAAACUUUAGAAAUGGAACACAGGAGAGUGGUUGCCAAGGAUCAGGGAUGGGCAGUGGGGAACAGGGUGACAGGACCACAUGAGGGAUCCUGUUCCCUGAGGUGUGGUAGUUGUUUGGAAUCUGGAUUGCGAUGGCUUGGGUGUAUGUAGGCAACACAACUGUAGGAAACUAAGCCGCACACACACACAUACGCACAUGCACUUGCACACGCAUGCCAGCGGGUAAGUGAAAUGGGCCAUCUGCACAGGGUUGGUGGACUGUAUCCGAGUCAACAUGCUAGGUGGUGACAUGACACUAAGUUUUGCUAGAAGUUACCAUUUAGCAAAGUGUAUAAGUAAUCUCUCUGUAUUAUUUCUUUUAACUGCAUGUGAAUUUACAAUGAUCUCAAUUAAAAAAA